UCCAGCUUAACGCUGGCGGUUUCCUUAGAGUUCCCAGCAUUACCUGAUGGCAACUAAGGACGAGGGUUGCGCUCGUUGCGGGACUUAACCCAACAUCUCACGACACGAGCUGACGACAGCCAUGCAGCACCUGUGUUCCAGCCAGCCAAACUGAAGGACUCCGUCUCUGGAGCCCAUACUGGACAUGUCAAGGCCUGGUAAGGUUCUUCGCGUUGCCUCGAAUUAAACCACAUGCUCCACCGCUUGUGCGGGUCCCCGUCAAUUCCUUUGAGUUUUAAUCUUGCGACCGUACUCCCCAGGCGGGAUGCUUAACGCGUUAGCUGCGCCACUGAACCCUACGGGCCCAACGGCUAGCAUCCAUCGUUUACGGCGUGGACUAC
rnacentral:misc_RNA from 1 species